rnacentral:rRNA from 1 species
GGAGUUAGCCGGUGCUUCUUCUGUGAGUGAUGUCCUUCCUGCCGGCUAUUAACCCGCAGGCCUUCUUCCUCACUGAAAGUGCUUUACAACCCGAAGGCCUUCUUCACACACGCGGCAUGGCUGGAUCAGGGUUGCCCCCAUUGUCCAAUAUUCCCCACUGCUGCCUCCCGUAGGAGUCUGGGCCGUGUCUCAGUCCCAGUGUGGCUGAUCAUCCUCUCAGACCAGCUACGGAUCGUCGCCUUGGUGAGCCGUUACCUCACCAACCAGCUAAUCCGACAUAGGAUCAUCCGAUAGCGCGAGGCCCGAAGGUCCCCCGCUUUCCCCCGUAGGGCGUAUGCGGUAUUAGCCUGGGUUUCCCCAGGUUAUCCCCCACUACCGGGCAGAUUCCUAUGCAUUACUCACCCGUCCGCCGCUCGCCACCAGGGAGCAAGCUCCCCGUGCUGCCGCUCGACUUGCAUGUGUUAGGCCUGCCGCCAGCGUUCAAUCUGAGCCAUAGACAACUAACUCGACUACGUAGCGGCGGUCGUCGACGACGGCGACUAG